AUGGCGGCGCAGGGCGUAGGGCCUGGGCCGGGGUCGGCGGCGCCCCCGGGGCUGGAGGCGGCCCGGCAGAAGCUGGCGCUGCGGCGGAAGAAGGUGCUGAGCACCGAGGAGAUGGAGCUGUACGAGCUGGCUCAGGCGGCGGGCGGCGGUAUCGACCCCGACGUGUUCAAGAUCCUGGUGGACCUGCUGAAGCUGAACGUGGCCCCCCUCGCCGUCUUCCAGAUGCUGAAGUCCAUGUGUGCCGGGCAGAGGCUAGCGAGCGAGCCCCAGGACCCUGCGGCCGUGUCUCUGCCCACGUCGAGCGUGCCCGAGACCCGAGGUCAGAGCUGGGCCCGCUGUCCCUGCCCCAGUGGCGGGGGUGGCGGGCGGGGAGGGGGCAGGCGCGGCACAGCGGCGGCGUGGCCCUGAGUGGCCAGGCCUGUCUGUCGGUCUAGGCCCAGCACCUGCAGGGCCCAUCCGUGGGCUCUGCUCCUGGGCUUCGCUGCCAGCCUUAGGAGGCACGUCCAGGUCAGGUGGACGCAGAGUGCGUGCCCCAGGGUGGUCCAGGCUGGGUAGGGCUCCUCCGCUUAGCUCCUCCCCACCUCUUCACUCAGGCCUUCAUCCUAAAAGUCGGGAAUCAAGACGGUUUGGGGCUGGGCGCCGUGGCUCACGCCUAUAAUCUUUGGGACCCCACGGCGGGAGGAUCCUUUGAGGCCACGAGUUUGAGACCAGUCUGGGUGACAGGGUGAGAUCUUGUCUCUAAAUGUUUUUCAAAAGACAGUCUCGAUCUCUGUCCUGUGGUAUACAGCAUCCAGGGAAGUGCCCAGGGAGCAGGGCAGGCAGAGGUCUUCCUGCCUUUACCCCACCUGGGCCCAGUUCCUGCCUCUGAUGAUUGCAGGAAGAGAGUCAGACGCGGAACUCCCAGGGUGCAGAGGCCUGCGGGGUCUGAAGGGCCUCCUCCCUCUCCAGUGUGGUGACUGGGCUGAGGAGAUGCUGGGACUGAGAGUGUCAUGGUGGAGCCUCUGUCCCUGCUCAUCCUCUCCGCAUGUUGCUUCUGCUCCCGAUGGCUCUCCCUGAAAUGCAGCACAACCUCCCAGGCCAAUGGAAGGAGGCCCAGAGCUGGCUCCCUGCCUGGAAGCACGAGGAGACCCGCACAGGCAUCCUGAGAAGGCGUAGAGAGCAGGCUGCCUUCAUGGGGGGAGUGCCAGGGCCUGGGCACCCACGCCCGCUGACCCAAGAGGGCACCUGCAUGCUGGCCUCUUCACUGACCCUCGCUCUGUCUGCUCUCUUUGUGUCUCUCUCUGACCUCCAGAGGCCUCCUUUCUCUCUGCCAGGAACAGUAGCCCCCCUGCAAGGCCCUCGUUUUCCUCCAGCCCGCAGCCUGCGGCCUCUCCGGUUCUGCUCCGCAGCCCAGCUGCCACACACUCGCCUCUCUCUCCAGGCCCCCCGGGUUCCCUCCGCCUCUCUUGCUGCCUGUUCUCUCCUUUUGCAGGUUGCGUUUAUUGGCUUAUCUCUGGGGGUUGGUGCUCUCCCUUGUUUUCGUGGAAACUGCAUGGCCCCAAGAGGCCCAAGCAGCUUUGAGCUGCAAGGGCAGGAUCAUGCAGGCCACCACUGCCCUGCCGCUUAGCCACAGGGCACUAUUUCUGACUCGGUUUCUUAGAGACAUGGUGUGGCAGUGUCUAGACCCCACAGUCGGGCUGGCAUCCGGGGACAGGACCGACACCCCCACACCCCAGAGGCGAGCUGUGGUGAGUGUAAAGAGCCCCUCUCCAGGGUAAGACAGCCGGCCAGAGUGCGGUGUGCUCUGCUGGAGAGCACAGCCCCAGGCGUGACAAACACCUUGGCCUCUUAGAAGUUGUCCCCUACCUGGACAGGAAGUCUGGAGGCUGAAACAGAGACUCCCACCUUCCCAGAGUCUCCUGGGCAGUGCCACACAGAUGCCAUGUGCUGGUCCCAUGGCCACACUCCAGCACUCAGCCCCCUUGCCCGCCUCACUCCUGAGUUGGGACACUUUCCAGGUGUCACCAGGUGUGAUCAGGGGCCCAGAGCCAGGGGCCUAUGAGAGCCCAGGGGUCUUUGGUCGCGCCUCCUGCAUGCGCCUCCUGACAGCGGCCACCUCCCUGCCACCCAGAGCUCAGGCCCAAGAGAGGGUGGAGAGGGCCUGAAGGACAGGCCUGGAGUAGGGGUGUAUGGACUGUAGGCUGAGAUGAGCAAUUGAGGGGCAAGUGUCCAGCAGGAGGGAGAAACUGGGAGCAGAGUCCUUGUCACUCCAGGAGACGUUGCUGCUCACUCAGCACUCACUCAGGGCUCUGGGUGCCAGGCCUAGCUCUCAGGGCAGAGGGCAUGGCAGGGAAGUGAGAUGAUCACACUCAGAGCCCAGUGAGAGGCAGUGAGGAAAACCACCAGCAAGACCAGUGUGGUGGCUCACACCUGUAAUCCCAGCACUUUGGGAAGUCAAGGCAGGUGGAUCCCUUGAGCUCAGGAGUUCAAGAUCAGCCUGGGCAACAUAGCAAGACCCCAUCUCUACAAAAAAUACAAAAACUAGCCAGGCAGGGCCCAGCGCGGUGGCUCACGCCUGUAAUCCCAGCACUUUGGGAGGCUGAGGUGGGCGGAUCUCGAGGUCAGGAGAUCGAGACCAUCCUGGCUAUCAUGGUGAAACCCCGUCUCUACUAAAAAUACAAAAAAAAUUAGCCAGGCAUGGUGGCAGGUGCCUUUAGUCCCAGCUACUUGGGAGGCUGAGGCAGGAGAAUGGCGUGAACCUGGGAGGUGGAGCUUACAGUGAGCCGAGAUCGCGCCACUGCACUCCAGCCUGGGCGACAGAGCGAGACUCCGUCUCAAAAAAAAAAAAAAAAAA
rnacentral:sRNA from 1 species